rnacentral:tRNA from 1 species
CAGGGAGACAACAAAAUGUUUAAUAUUAUUAUUUUGUCACCUUAGGUCGAUCGGUAUCUCACGUUCUUAAUUUAUUAAGAAUUUCAUUUCCUAAGUUUUUCUAGGUCACACCCAUUAUUUUUCCUGGGCCAUUAGCUCAGGUGGUUAGAGCGCACCCCUGAUAAGGGUGAGGUCCCUGGUUCAAGUCCAGGAUGGCCCAUAUCUCUAUGUUGGGGGUAUAGCUCAGUUGGUAGAGCGCCUGCUUUGCAAGCAGGAUGUCAGCGGUUCGAGUCCGCUUACCUCCACUGAUUACCACCUCUUCCAUAAUCUGUAGAAAGGAAAAUUUUUUGAGUUGUGAUCAUUAAUCUGAACGAAUCUAGCUUCCUAAUGAAACUAUUAAGAUGCUGGACUCACUGAAUUAAUUUCAUUGUUUUCAGAGAACCUUGACAACUGCAUAGAUUAUUUUUAAAGACAAUAAGCAUCUUUAAUGAUGCAGAUUUAUUAUUUGUGCAAAUGCAUUAAUAACAAUUCUAUUAAGCUGAUGCUUCAAUUAUGAAGUUAUU